GGGAGUGGAAGGGUCCCGGUGGGCCUCGCGGUCUUCAAAACCGCAGUGGGGCGGAGGUCCCGUCCCAGGUGGGUUCGACUCCCAUGCACUCCCGCCA
rnacentral:tRNA from 1 species